rnacentral:rRNA from 1 species
CCUACGGGAGGCAGCAGUCGAGAAUCAUUCACAAUGGGGGAAACCCUGAUGGUGCGACGCCGCGUGGGGGAAUGAAGGUCUUCGGAUUGUAAACCCCUGUCAUGUGGGAGCAAAUUAAAAAGAUAGUACCACAAGAGGAAGAGACGGCUAACUCUGUGCCAGCAGCCGCGGUAAUACAGAGGUCUCAAGCGUUGUUCGGAAUCACUGGGCGUAAAGCGUGCGGAGGCUGUUUCGUAAGUCGUGUGUGAAAGGCGCGGGCUCAACCCGCGGACGGCACAUGAUACUGCGAGACUAGAGUGAUGGAGGGGGAAGCGGAAUGCUCGGUGUAGGAGUGAAAUGCGUAGAUAUCGAGAGGAACACUCGUGGCGAAGGCGGGUUCCUGGACAUUAACUGACGCUGAGGCACGAAGGCCAGGGGAGCGAAAGGGAUUAGAUACCCCUGUAGUC